UUCUGAAGUUUCGAUGAUGACGAUGAUUACGAUGAUGGAGCGUUGAUCGUUAAGGGGUAGGAUCCGUCAUCGUAAUCAUUGUCAUCAUCAUCAAAA
rnacentral:pre_miRNA from 1 species